GACGAACGCUGGCGGCGUGCUUAACACAUGCAAGUCGAGCGGUAAGGCCCUUUCGGGGGUACGACGAGCGGCGAACGGGUGAGUAACACGUGGGUGACCUGCCCUCAGCUCUGGGAUAAGCCUGGGAAACCGGGUCUAAUACCGGAUAUGACUCCAUGACGCAUGUUGUGGGGUGGAAAGCCUUGUGCGGCUGAGGAUGGGCCCGCGGCCUAUCAGCUUGUUGGUGGGGUGAUGGCCUACCAAGGCGACGACGGGUAGCCGGCCUGAGAGGGCGACGGCCACACUGGGACUGAGACACGGCCCAGACUCCUACGGGAGGGCAGCAGUGGGGAAUCUUGCGCAAUGGGCGAAAGCCUGACGCAGCGACGCCGCGUGAGGGAUGACGGCCU
rnacentral:rRNA from 1 species